rnacentral:rRNA from 1 species
GGCUAGCGUUGCUCGGAAUCACUGGGCGUAAAGCGCACGUAGGCGGCUUGUUAAGUCAGGGGUGAAAUCCUGGAGCUCAACUCCAGAACUGCCUUUGAUACUGGCGAGCUUGAGUCCGGGAGAGGUGAGUGGAACUGCGAGUGUAGAGGUGAAAUUCGUAGAUAUUCGCAAGAACACCAGUGGCGAAGGCGGCUCACUGGCUCGGUACUGACGCUGAGGUGCGAAAGCGUGGGGAGCAAACAGG